rnacentral:rRNA from 1 species
GAAGAUGACGAGCGGCGGACGGGUGAGUAAUACUUAGGAAUCUACCUAGUAGUGGGGGAUAGCACGGGGAAACUCGUAUUAAUACCGCAUACGACCUACGGGAGAAAGGGGGCAGUUUACUGCUCUCGCUAUUAGAUGAGCCUAAGUCGGAUUAGCUAGAUGGUGGGGUAAAGGCCUACCAUGGCGACGAUCUGUAGCUGGUCUGAGAGGAUGAUCAGCCACACCGGGACUGAGACACGGUCCAGACUCCUACGGGAGGCAGCAGUGGGGAAUAUUGGACAAUGGGCGCAAGCCUGAUCCAGCCAUGCCGCGUGUGUGAAGAAGGCCUUCGGGUUGUAAAGCACUUUUGUUGGGGAAGAAAAGACCGUGGUUAAUAACCGUGGUUCAUGACGGUACCCAAAGAAUAAGCACCGGCUAACUUCGUGCCAGCAGCCGCGGUAAUACGAAGGGUGCAAGCGUUACUCGGAAUUACUGGGCGUAAAGCGUGCGUAGGCGGUUUGUUAAGUCUGUCGUGAAAGCCCCGGGCUCAACCUGGGA